rnacentral:misc_RNA from 1 species
CGAAAAACAAAACCACCAGCACUGUUGGACAUCCAAAGCCGGCCAAGAAAUUGUGAAAUCAGCUUUUUGUCGUCUUCGUCCUCAAAGGACUAAUUUUUUUUACAGCUUCUUCUUCUUCAUUUUCAAAAGCUCUGGACCAUUUGCUUUACAUUUCUCUUAACUACCUUUAAACCACUUAUUUGCAAAGAGGAAAAACCAACCAUGGCUGAAUUGGUAGGAGGAGCAAUUCUUUCCGCUUUCCUCCCGGUUUUGUUUGAGCGGCUGGCUUCCCCUGAAUUUCGAAAAUUCUUCGACGGCCAAAUUCUCCAAGGCGAACUCAAGAAAUUGAAGAUAACGUUGAAUUCUGUUAAUGGACUGCUCACUGAUGCAGAGGAGAAGCAGAUCACUAAGCCUGAUGUGAAAAAUUGGCUCGACCACCUCAGAGAAGCUAUCUACGAAGCAGAUGACUUGCUGGAUGAGAUAGAGUAUAGAGCACUUAAAUCGAAGUUGAAAGCUACUUCUUUGAUGGAGAAGGCGACGGGAUUUAUCUCCAAAUACAAGAUCAGACAAAGGUUGGAAACCAUCCUUAACACACUUCAACUUUUGUUAGACCAAAACGACACACUAGGUCUUGCAGAAAAACUGUCUUUGCCGCCGAAAACACCAACUACUUCUCUGCGAGAUGAUGAUGAUGAUUCCGAAAUUGAUAGUAGAGUUAAGGACAAGGAUGCCAUCAUAGAAUCUCUACUAUCUGAUUCUGAUUCCUUGGUUGUGAUGCCCAUCUGGGGCAUGGGUGGGAUCGGUAAAACUACUCUGGCUCAACUCGUCUACAAUGAUACAAGAAUAGAAGCUCAAUUUCAACACAGACCAUGGAUCUUUGUAUCAGAAGUAUUCGACGUUACCAGGGUAACGAAAGAUAUUCUCAGGGUGGUCAAUCCAGAGUCUUCAAACUAUGAUAAUUUGGAUCUGCUCCAACGACAACUGCUGAAGGAAUUUUCCUCGAUGGAGAGAAAACUUUUGAUUGUUUUGGAUGAUUUUUGGAGCGAUAAUACUGGUGAUUGGUACGCUUUCCUAAAACCCUUCUUACAGGUUGGGGCAAGAAAAGGAAUGAUUAAGAUCGUUGUUACAACCCGCCAUGAAAGCGUGGCAAGCCUCACCCUCACAGGGCCUGUUGAAGUUCGUCAUUUGAACGAAUUAACAGAUAGGGAAUGCUGGUGCUUGCUUGAAAAGCAUGCAUUUGUCAAAGAUGAUUCCAAUGCUUAUCCUCAGUUGAAAGCGCUUGGUGAGAAAAUUGCAAAAAAUUGUCGUGGUCUACCCUUAGCAGCAAAAACCAUCGGACGACUGUUAAGUGCAGAAAGAGAUGUUCAGAAGUGGAAGGAAAUAUCGAGCAGCGAUAUAUGGGAUCUAAAGAAUGAAGACAUUAAUUCAGCGCUAAGAUUGAGCUACCAUUAUCUCUCAUCGCUUUCAAAAAGGUGUUUUGCUUAUUGUGCUCUAUUUCCCAAAGGUUAUGAAUUUGGCAAGGAAGAAGUAGUUCUUCUAUGGAUGGCAGAGGGCUUCUUUGUCCAAGCCCAAGGAAAUAACUCAAAGAAGGAGAUGGAAGAAAUAGGUAACGACCAAUUCAAUGAUCUUGUGACAAGAUCUUUUUUCCAACGAUCUAAAGGCAGUAAAUCACACUUUGUUAUGCAUGAUCUCUUCAACGACCUAGCUAAAUUUGUUUCUGGAGAAUUUUGCUCUCGAUUGGAGGGCAACAACUCGAGCAACAUUGUUAAGAGGACCCGUCAUGUCUCGUAUGCAGAUGUGGAUCUUGAUUCACUCCAGAAAUUUUCAGGCGCUUGUAAAGACAAUGUUUUGCGUACUUUCAUAUCAUUGAAGCCGUUGGAGAGGCGGUCGACUCUCAAAAGGCGGUCGACUCUCAAGACUGAUGAGGUAAUACAUGGUUUAUUGCAGACACUCGGUCGUCCCCUACGAGUACUAUCUUUAUCUCAGUAUCAAAUGGUUGAUUUGAGUGAUUCAAUUAGCAAAUUCAAGCUACUACGAUAUCUGAAUCUCUCUGGAACAUCAAUCAAAAGCUUCUCCACACCUACCAAACUGUAUUUCUUGCAAAUUUUGAUCUUGCGUGAGUGUCCAAACUUAGUUGCGUUGCCGAGUAACUUGUCAAAAUUAAUCAAAUUAUGUCAUCUUGACAUUAGAGGAACUGAACUGCAAGAGAUGCCACCACAAAUGGGUGAACUCAAAAAGCUCCGGAAGUUGACUGAUUUCUUUCUAGGAAAACAGAGCGUGUCUAGCAUCAAGGAAUUGGGGAAGCUUCAAGAACUUCAGGGAGAGCUUUGUAUCUGGAAUCUCCAGCACGUUGAGAAGGCCAAAGAUGCUGCAGAAGCCAACUUGUGCGGUAAGGAGAAACUUGUGAAAUUGGAGUUGAGAUGGGACUGGGACAUCCAAGCUAGUAUUGAUCCGAAGCAUGAAAAAAGUGUGCUGGAGUCGUUAGAACCCCAUAAAGGGUUGGACUAUCUUUCAAUUUAUGGUUAUGGAGGUACCAGAUUUCCAGAUUGGGUAGGACACUCUUCUUUUUCUUGUAUGGUGUCGCUGGAGUUGACUGGAUGUGGAAACUGCUCUUCUUUGCCACCACUUGGGCAGCUACCAUCUCUAGAAUACCUUACUAUUGGAUACUUCUAUAAAGUGGAGGUUGUUGGUCGUGAGUUCUAUGGAAGUUGCGCAUCCAUGAAGAAGCCAUUUGGAUCGUUGAAAGUUCUGAGAUUUUCAUAUAUGAGAGGAUGGCGUGAGUGGAUUUCAUGUGAAGGAGCCUUUCCUGUCCUUCAAGAGCUCCACGUAAGGAGAAGUAACAACCUAGAGAGGGUUGCCCUGCCUGGUCAUCUUCCUUGUUUAACAACACUAGAUGUUGGUGGUUGUCAGCAGUUUGCAGCUGCACUUCAAAGCGCUCCAGCUAUACUUAGAGUGAUUACUGCAGAUGUGCAAUUGAAGAAACUGCCUUCUGGGUUGUACAGCCUCAUAAGUUAUAGAUUCGAGUUUGCAACGGAGAUAAUGGAAAGAAUUGGUCUUCUUCCUAUUGCUUUAGAAGAAAUUGUAAUCUAUAACUCUUAUUCACUUGGGAGCUUUCCACUAAAAUUGUUUAGUGAGGUCAAGACUCUCAAAGUAGGAAGAUGUGGAAAUCUGGAUGAUUUUUUAACACCUGAGGCAAAUGCGAAUUUUACAUCUCUUGAUUCCUUGCAAAUUGAGGAAUGCCAUUAUUUCGUAUCUUUUCCUGAAGGAGGAUUGCCCGCCUCAAAUUUGACAAGACUUUCAUUAUAUGAUUGCUCGAGUUUGAAGUCACUACCUCAGAUUAUGCGCUCUCUUCUCUCUUCCCUUGUUGAUUUGAGUAUGAUGCGUUGUCCAGUGCUAGAGUCGUUUCCUAAGGAUGGGCUACCCUCCUCCCUUUCUUCUCUAAUUAUCCGUUAUUGUCCACAACUCGAGCCAUUCCCAAAAGGAUGUUUGCCUGAAAAAUUAGAAUCGCUGGAUGUUGGCCAUUGCAACGAACUGAUCGCAGGCCACAUGCAAUGGGAUCUGCAAACCCUCCCCUCUCUUGUGAAAUUUGCUAUUGAAAGCUGUGACGAUGUGGAAGCUUUUCCAGGGGAGAUGCUGCUGCCAUCUACUCUUAUCUCUCUUGAAAUUAAUGAUUUUCAAAACCUGAAAUCCAUAGACUACAAGGGACUUCAAGACCUCAAAAAUUUGACUGUAGUCAAUUGUCCAAUGCUUGAGUUGUUUCUGGGAGGGGUUUUGCCAUCUCAAUUAGAAUCACUUCGCAUUUAUCAGUGCAGCAAACUCAUUGCUCACCUCAUGCAUUGGGAUUUGCGAGCAGUGUCCUCUCUUUUGGAGCUUACCAUUGAUGGGUACGAUGGCGUUGACAUGGUCUCCUUUCCUGGGAAGAUGCUGCUGCCAUCCACUCUUACCUCACUUAAUCUCUUCAGUCUUGAGAAUCUGAAGUUUCUGGACAAGGGGCUUCUGCACCUCACCUCUCUUAAAAAAUUGAGGAUAGAUCGAUGCUAUAAUCUUCAAUCCCUGCCUGAAGAAGGGCUGCCGUCGUCCAUUACUUCGCUAGAUAUCGUUGUUUGCCGUUUGUUGCAACCGAAGUGUGAAUUUGGUGGGGAAUAUUGGCCAUUGAUUUCUCAAAUCCCUCAAGUAAUGAUGGACUAGAUGAUCUCUGGUUUAUCAUUCAUCCAAACUCUUGAAGUAUUGGAGCAUCAAAUCUCCACAACAGUAGAUUCAAAAAUCUAGAGGCUUGUAAUUGAUUCCACUCUGAGCCCAAUUCCAGGUGAACUAUGAUGUUGUGUUUCGCAAUUGGAAAGUAUUUUUGGUGGACAAAAUCUAUGGUCAAAUGAUCAGUCCUUGGGAGAAGCGACAGCCAUAUUCGCGCAAUUGGGCUACUAAUGCAGGAUGCAAAAUCCUGGCAAUGACAUUAAUAUCUUUCCACUAGCUGUCUGCUGCAAUCGAGAAAAUAGUAUUGUGAUGCAUUUUAUUCUCUCCGAUUAUUCUCUCCCCAUUCCAUUGUAUUUGCUAACACAUGCAUAUUAUUUUUAUGAGAUCAGAAACAUUUGAAAGCAAAUUUGCUUCAUUUUUGUUUUGCAAUAUUCUUAAGAGAUAUCUUUUUAUUUUUGAUUUGAGGAUUGAAGUUUAGAUUACUUGACAAACUACUUUCAAGAAUAAAAAAUUCAUCAAAUGCUCAUGUAUGCAUACCCGAAAUAUUCCUUAAAUAAAAUGGGUG